UACGUAGGGUGCGAGCGUUAAUCGGAAUUACUGGGCGUAAAGCGUGCGCAGGCGGUUCGUUAUGUCCGAUGUGAAAGCCCCGAGCUUAACUUGGGAAUGGCAUUGGAAACUGGCGGGCUUGAGUGUGGCAGAGGGGGGUGGAAUUCCACGUGUAGCAGUGAAAUGCGUAGAGAUGUGGAGGAACACCGAUGGCGAAGGCAGCCCCCUGGGCUAACACUGACGCUCAUGCACGAAAGCGUGGGGAGCAAACAGG
rnacentral:rRNA from 1 species